AUGGGUCCCUGGCUGUGCUGCUGGGCACUGCUCUGCCUCCUGGGGACAGGGACAGCGGAUUCCAGAGUCACCCAGAUCCCAAGACACCUGAUCAAACAGAGGGGACAGAAGGUGGCAAUGGCUUGUUCCCCCAUAGCUGGGCACCUCUACGUGUCCUGGUACCAGCAGGCCCAGGGCCAGGGCCCCCAGUUCCUCUUUCGAUAUUACAGGGGAGAGCAACAAGAGAAAGGCGACGUCCCAGACCGAUUCUCGGGCCAACAGUUCUCUGACUUCCGCUCGGAGCUGAACCUGAGCGCUGUGGAGCUGGGGGACACGGCCACGUUCCUCUGUGCCAGCAGCAAGGACACAGCCCUGCACAGGCUCUACCCUGCUGCACACAAACCACCUGCCGGCUCAUGA